CCUACGGGAGACUGCAGUGGGGGAUAUUGCACAAUGGGGGGAACCCUGAUGCAGCGACGCCGCGUGGGUGAAGGAGUGCUUCGGCAUGUAAAGCCCUAUCGGCAGGGAAGAAGCAAGACGGUACCUGACUAAGAAGCCCCGGCUAACUACGUGCCAGCAGCCGCGGUAAUCCGUAGGGGGCGAGCGUUAUCUGGAUUCACCGGGAGUAAAGGGAGCGUAGACGGCCAUGCAAGCCAGGGGUGAAAGGCCGGGGCCCAACCCCGGGACUGCCCUUGGAACUGCAUGGCUGGAGUGCGGGAGGGGCAGGCGGAAUUCCUGGUGUAGCGGUGAAAUGCGUAGAUAUCAGGAGGAACACCGGCGGCGAAGGCGGCCUGCUGGACCGCGACUGACGUUGAGGAUCGAAAGCGUGGGGAGCGAACAGGAUUAGAUACCCGAGUAGUC
rnacentral:rRNA from 1 species